rnacentral:rRNA from 1 species
UCGGGAAUUUUGGGCAAUGGGCGAAAGCCUGACCCAGCAACGCCGCGUGAGGGAUGAAGUAUUUCGGUAUGUAAACCUCGAAAGAAUGGGAAGAAUAAAUGACGGUACCAUUUAUAAGCUCCGGCUAACUACGUGCCAGCAGCCGCGGUAAUACGUAGGGAGCAAGCGUUGUUCGGAUUUACUGGGCGUAAAGGGCGCGUAGGCGGCGCGGUAAGUCACUUGUGAAAUCUCUGAGCUUAACUCAGAACGGCCAAGUAAUACUGCUGUGCUAGAGUGCGGAAGAGGCAACCGGAAUUCUUGGUGUAGCGGUGAAAUGCGUAGAUAUCAAGAGGAACACCUGAGGCGAAGGCGGGUUGCUGGGCCGACACUGACGCUGAUGCGCGAAAGCCAGGGGAGCAAACG